rnacentral:rRNA from 1 species
CGCCGGCGUCGGCGGGCGUAUUUCGCCUCACAGUAGGUCGCCGCGACCCGUUGCUUUUGGGGACGUCGAAGGCCCGGACGGAUUGGUACCCUACCGGCUGGGGAUGCGGCUUCGGCUUCUCCUCUUGUCCGGUGGGCGAAACCGCCGGUGUCCUGGCUGCCCUGCGACGGUCGUAGAGACGAGCCCUCCCCUUCGGGGGGGCGGCUCUCGCGGCGUGCAAAAGGUCGGUGAUCCACCCGACCCGUCUUGAAACACGGACCAAGGAGUCUAACAUGUGUGCGAGUCAGUGGGCGCACUAAACCCAGAGGCGUAAUGAAAGUGACACGGGUUCGGCUGUCGCCUCGUGUGGCAGCCGGACUCAGGGCCGAUCCCUCACCGGUUGCCCUCGCCUCCUCUCCCGCGUCUCGGUAAGCCGGGUGAGCUAUUUUCCCCGGCCGCUGCUGCGGGGCGCGGGGGGAGGCGGGGUGCGAUGGUGUCCGUAAAAAAGAGCCUGCUGUUGCAGGGGGGCGCAGGCCCGGGACUUGCCAGGACGCCGCGAGACUGUCACUUUGCUGUGAGGCUCUCGGGCCGAUCAGCGGGUCAUGCGUGCAGUCGGCAAGUACCAUGAGCAGACAUGUUGGGACCCGAAAGAUGGUGAACUAUGCCUGGCCAGGAUGAAGCCAGAGGAAACUCU